CAAAGAUGGCGGCACGCGUCGCGCUCGUGUCGGAAGCUACAUCCGGAAGCGCGGGAACGCCGCCCUCGCCCAACAAAACAAUACAAUCGUACUUUCCGAAAUUUACAAAGCGGGACAAUUUUGCUACGGCUGAGGACAGCAGAACAGACAGUGAAGACGGGUGUCUUUCUGAAAACGGCACGGAUGUUCAGAUUAUUUUGAAUCAUUUGCGCUUACAACAAUGGGGAAUCAAUCUCGGCGUGGCGGGGUGCGGGAAGCGUAUAAAACGAUGAAUGCUAAAACAACUGGCAGUUAGUAGGGUGUGAAGGCAGGAAUGAUUAGGCAAUAUCCUGCGGAACCCUCCGACCGGCCUCGCCCUACGACCCCUGCUGUUACAUCUUACUUAAUGCGCUCGAAUUUGAUCGGACAUCUGAUUUUGAAACUUUAGUGAGUAGUCUGUCCGAAGUUCUUUAACAUUGUUUUAAUAUCACUGUACUUAUUAAGAUGUACAACUUGUUAUAGAGUAAUAUUAAAAUCAUAUCUAA